GCCAAAUGAUAUGGCUGCAUAGAUCCCAUUAGCACUGUGUGCAAAGAUGACCCGUUAUCUAUCACCCGUGGCUGAUGGCU